UACGUAGGGGCAAGCGUUAUCCGGAAUUACUGGGCGUAAAGGGUGCGUAGGUGGUUUCUUAAGUCAGAGGUGAAAGGCUACGGCUCAACCGUAGUAAGCCUUUGAAACUGGGAAACUUGAGUGCAGGAGAGGAGAGUGGAAUUCCUAGUGUAGCGGUGAAAUGCGUAGAUAUUAGGAGGAACACCAGUUGCGAAGGCGGCUCUCUGGACUGUAACUGACACUGAGGCACGAAAGCGUGGGGAGCAAACAGGAUUAGAUACCCGGGUAGUCCCUGAGCGGGCU
rnacentral:rRNA from 1 species